rnacentral:lncRNA from 1 species
UCUGAAAAACAUAUUGGAUGAAGAAAUGAAGUCCAAAUUAAAAUGAGGAAGUCCAGUCAGAUGACGAACUUGAACACAAAGAGCAAGCCAUUGAGCACUAGUUGGCCACAGAUGUGGAUUUAAGUUUUCUAGCUGCCAAAAUGUAAAGAGGGAAACACGAUCCUCUGCAGGACUCAACAGUAUCCCUGAGAUCGAAUCUGACAAACUGCUCAGAAGGGGCACCUAUGCUUUUCCCUGAGAUGAAUGUCUCCCAUCGUCAGAUGUCAGAUUCUGGAUCUAUUUUGACAAGAGAGCUCAAAGGAUUUCUUCACAGAUGGAAAUGAGGGGUGCUAGACCUCCAGAGAGAGAAAAUGAGACACAUAAGGUGGAAAUUACUCUGUGGUGACACACUGUGGAGUCCUGCCCACAACCCGGAUACUUGGACCCACUCCACUGAAACCUUAGGCCACAGCUAAGUUCCUUCCUUCAAAAAAUAAAUCUAAGAAAGAGGAAAAACAGGAAUGACCUCCUUUCAGGCACUCUGUUGGUUUUAUGGCGCCUCUUCUUGCGAAUGUUUGUGUAAAAUUGACAUACUGUGGUCCUUUUCUGCACAAUUACGGCAAGGAAAAUUCAGAUCGCAAAGGUCCACCUUUCAUCUGCAUCUCAUUACCGGGUAGCAGGAAUAAGUAGGCUGACCCUCAGUUUGGACCGGGAACAGCUGUAUUGGCACAGAGAUUUCAGAAAAGAAAAAGCGGGAGUUAGUAGGCCACCCUAAAAGCUGUGCCUCUACAGCGGAAAGAAACUUUGUUUUGACUCUGAGGAACGGCGCUUUUUUUCUAAACGCGAAGGGCGGGCGGACGUUACUGGGAGGAAUGAGGGCGAGGAAGAGAAAGACGUUAGUCCUCGGACCGUUUCCGAGAGUCAUCUCCGGGAGUAAUGCGAAGAUGGACACGCUCAGUCCUGCCUGUGCAUGCGCGUUCGCGUUGUACGGAAUUCCCAAGCCAGCUGCGUAGUUUCUGCCUUGAAGCUAUUUGGCGAGAAGUUUCGCCUGUUCCUUUACUUUGUGGGUCAGGGCUUGGGUGCUUGAGUGGGAGAAACAGAAAGCCAGCUAGCCCUGGAACCCCUUCUAAGAUCGUCAUCCACCCAGCCAUCCAUAAAUCUGUUCAUCCAUGAAACAAAUAAUCAUUGAGCACCCCUUAUAUGCCAGACACACGUAAGGAUGCAAGGGCCGCGUUCUCAUUCUAGUGGGUGGGGACAGAGAGUAAACAAAUUAUCUACUUAAUUUCAGAUAGUGGUAAGUGAUAGAAAAUAAAACGGGGUGAUAUUGUCAGAGGCGUUUGAACCAGAGCGACUCCAUUCCGAGUGAGGGCUAGGA